CACCGGCGGCCCGAGUGGUGGCCACUAUUAUUGGGUCCAAAGGGUCCGUAGCCGGUUUGAUCAGUCUUCCGGGAAAUCUGACAGCUCAACUGUUAGGCUUCCGGGGGAUACUGUCAGACUUGGGACCGGGAGAGGUAAGAGGUACUACAGGGGUAGGAGUGAAAUCUUGUAAUCCUUGUGGGACCACCAGUGGCGAAGGCGUCUUACCAGAACGGGUCCGACGGUGAGGGACGAAAGCUGGGGGCACGAACCGGAUUAGAUACCCGGGUAGUCCCAGCCGUAAACGAUGCUCGCUAGGUGUCUGGGACGGUGCGACCGUUUCAGGUGCCGCAGGGAAGCCGUGAAGCGAGCCACCUGGGAAGUACGGCCGCAAGGCUGAAACUUAAAGGAAUUGGCGGGGGAGCACUACAACGGGUGGAGCCUGCGGUUU
rnacentral:rRNA from 1 species